rnacentral:lncRNA from 1 species
CAAGAGCUCAUGCUCUGGACCCGCGCCUGAGCCAGCUGCGCAGCCAAGUUCUGUCCCGAGUUUGGGCUCUGGUGCUCAGCAGGGAGUCCGGGCCCCUGGUCCCCAGAGGCCACCUCUGCCACGACAGUCCAGUCACUGGGCUCUGGCUUGCUGGGCAGCUGGCUGCCUGGGGCAUUUGACCUGGGCAGCCCUGGAGGAGCAGCGACCGAAAGCCGGGGCAUCCUCGAGAGCAUCCAGAGGUUCUCCCUGCUGCCCACCUACCUCCCGGUCACGUACCACAUCAACAACGCCGACGUGUCCUUCUUCUUGAAGGAGGCCAAUCAGGACAUCAUGCGCAACUCCAGCCUGCAGUCCAGGGUCGAAUCCUUCCUCAUCUACAAAUCCAAGCAGCUGCCAGCACUCAACGCCAGCUACGGGCCCUUCUCCAUCGAGCAGGUAGUGCCACAGGACCUGAUGCUGCCCACCAACCCCUUUGGGUUCACCAACACGUUUUCCCUGAACUGGAAGCUGAAGGCCUCCAUCCUGCGGGACAAGAUCUACCCGAGCCGCCCCAAGGUGCAGGUCCUCUUCCACCUGCUGGGGCGGGACUGGGACGAGCCACGGCCUGAGGAGAGGCUGCCCUGCCUGCACGUCUUCGCUUUCCGGGAGACCCGGCAGGUGCGGGGCAGCUGCCAGCUGGGCGGGGACCUGGGGCUGUGCGUGGCGGAGCUGGAGCUUCUGGCCAGCUGGUUCAGUCCUCCGACUGUGGUGGCCGGGAGGAGGAAGCCGGUGGAGCAGUCUGAGGGGAGCCCUGUGGAGCUGUACUACUCGGUGCAGCCGGGGGAUGCACAUGGGGACUGUGGCCAGGAGGCCCCCUGGAGGAGCAGCAGCGUCCGCACAGGGCACAAUGAUAUCGAGGAGUCCGGACCACCCUUGCACAGGAUCGGGAGCAUCUUCCUCUACCAGGCCCACAGCAGCCCGGCCCUGCAGGAGCUGCGCUUGGACAGUAACGUCGCUGUUCACUACGUCCCCAAGACGGCUCGACGAGGCGACGUGCUGACUUUCCCUAUCUCCGUCUCCAGGAACUGCACGGAGGACCGCUUCACGCUGAGGGCCAAGGUGAAGAAGGGUGUGAGCAUCGUUGGGGUGAGGGCCAGCAGCCCCUCCACCUGGGACGUCAAGGAGAGCCCGGAGUACACCGGGAAGUACGCCCCCGCCGUCAUCCUGUGCCACAGGAAGUCUGCUGCCUCUGCGAGCGGUGCAGACAACAGCUCUGAGGAAGUCAUGCAGAUUGACGUGGAAGUAGAAGAGCCCAGUGAUCCUCCAGCCACGCAGCUGGUCACCUGGCAGGUGGAGUACCCCGGAGACAUCACCUCCGACCUGGGUGUGUCCAAGAUCUACGUGAGUCAGAAGGACUUGGUUGGAGUGAUCCCGCUAGCCAUGGAGGCGGAGAUCCUGAACACGGCUGUCCUCACGGGGAAGACGGUGGCCGUGCCGGUGAGGGUGGUCUCCGUGGAGGAGGACGGCACCGUGACUGGGCCGCUGGAGUCCGUGGAGUGCAGGUCGUCUGAUGAAGACGUGGUUAAGGCAAGUCACCGCCCACCCACUGGAGCCCUCGGGCCCUUGAUGGGUGUCCUGCUCGCUGGGACCUGGGGACGCUGGGCCCCUCCCAGCCCAGCCCAGUCAAAUCAGAUCCUGCAGGCCUG